GGUGGAGAAGGCGGACCGCUGGGAGGAGCCGAGUGCGGGUAAGCAGCUGCCGGCAAGGUUCUCGCCUUGGCCGGCUCUGAGGAGCCAUGCAGGGCUCUGGAGCGGCCUUGGAGGUCCGGACGGAGGCGGAGCUCUGGCUGCUUCUGAUCGCUGUCCCGGCAGAUGCCCCAGCUCUGUUUCCUCUGGGUUGCAGCCAGUCCAGAGACUUCUGACGAGGAGAGAGUGCUUGUUCUCCUUGUUGCUGUUAGGGUGGGGCAAUAGGUUCUUUUUUAGGCAAGAAGCCUUUUCGUCGGCAGGUACCAGCAUUGAGCACCAGUGGCGUUUGGUUUUCAGUGGUACUCCAUGGACAGCCCUCCGCGAGCCCCGGCGUUGAACCCAUUUACGAUUCACUGGGAAAGUUCCGAAGCGCUGCAGCGCUCAGCCCUCCCACGCCAGGCGUGUGUGUCAGGGGAGCCAUAAAAUACUGACUCCGGAAGAUACAGUCAAUAGAAGUCAAGCUCAAUUUAAUUUUUUUAAAGGAAAAUAAUCUCGUAGAAAAAAAUCAAUAUUUUUAAGUCGUUCGUGUUAGUUCUCAUAACACCCCUACUGUAGUUCUCUCCUGGACGUGUAAUGCUGCCGUUUCAAUGUCAAAACAUUCAGUGAAACUUAAUUGUGAUUUUUAUCAGAACUAAUGUAGGACAUGAGAAUAAUGGGCAUUUCUCCUAGUUCCGUUACUUCGUUGACUGUGGUGUGAGGAAAGGUGAAAGACUUGUCACUCACCCCCGCUGAUAAAGUUAUGUUCUUCACUGGUUUCAGCAGGAAAUCUACCUUAAUUUAUUCCUCAUCAAACUUUAUUUUUGCUCAGAAGCCAAAUUAAGGAUCACUAGAAAUAGAAAAUGUGGAUCUUUUACCCCAUGAUGGAAAAUGCUACAGAUGAACCAAAAAGCAUCGGAGUAAAAAGCAUCGUACAGCAUCUGAACAGUCCACCAGCCUUACGAUAAAGUCCUUCCACUUUCCGGCCA
rnacentral:lncRNA from 10 species